rnacentral:rRNA from 1 species
UACAGAGGUCUCGAGCGUUAGGCGGAAUCACUGGGCUUAAAGCGUGUGUAGGUGGAUCGUUAAGUACCUUGUGAAAUCCCACGGCUUAACCGUGGAACUGCUUGGUAUACUGGCGGUCUUGAGCCAGCUAGGGGCUACCGGAACAAAUGGUGGAGCGGUGAAAUGCGUAGAUAUCAUUUGGAACGCCAAUGGUGAAAACAGGUAGCUGGGGCUGUGCUGACACUGAGAACACGGAAAGCCAGGGGAGCAAACGGG